GGUCUGUCUUGUAAACGGUGAUGUUUACAAGUAAUUGAUCACAACCUAUUACAGAUUUCUUUGUUCCUUCUCCACUCCCACUGCUUCACUUGAGUAGCCUAAA
rnacentral:sRNA from 1 species